AAAAUAACAUUUUGAAACCGGAAGUUGAUCAAUUUUAACCUGGAAGGUUUACCACGAACUUAGGAUACACAGGGACCGAGACACUGAGCAAUAAAAAGGAAGAUUAUGACUUCAAAUGUCGUCAGUGGGGAAGCCUUGUUCCAGGUGCUUUUUUGCAGGGACUCUUGGUACAGGACAUGACAGGACUACCUAGCUCUGCCAUUGGGCAUCAGGCGCUUAGCAACAUGGAGAGAAAGGUAAAGGUCUAAUGGCAGUUCAACAUGGUUGGCAGAUAUUUGUGGCUCUGCAAUGCAUCAUGCGGUUAUUUUCGAAGCAAGACCUGACUUCUAGAUUUCAGCCUCUUCUUUUGUACAUUCAUCAUUAUAAAGAAUAACCAAUUAAAUGUGAAGUUACAUUUAUCAUUUAAUUUUGUAAAUUUCUGCUGGACUUUAAAAAAGUAGUUAUGUUUCACUUGUGUGUUGAUCAAUUAUUGUUACCAAUGUGUUUGACUGCACACAUUUUUACAUUUACUGCUUAAUUAUGUGAUUUGUGUAGACAUAUUGUAUUCUCUGCGCAAUGUUGGUGGUUCUGUCAUAUAUAUUAGCCAUGCUCUUGGAAAUCUGGGCUUAAUGUGCAUUACAAUACUUUCCUCCUUAACUUCAUUCUCGUUUGAAGGACAAUUCCAUUUUAAAAAAUGCAUAUAAAGAAAGUAAUGUCCUUGAUGCGCUUGUACUUUAACCCUUUGAAUGCUGGGAAAUUUGUCUUCUGCUAAAAUGUCGUCUGCUGAAUUUCUAAAAUUAGCCUUUUCUUCGAUUUUUUUUCCAAGAAUACUAUCAGAAUAGCAAACAGUUUGGAUUCUGAUGAGACGCCAUGUUCUGUGGCGUCUCAUCUGGAUCAAAACUGUUUGCAAAGGCCUUCAAAAUUCGGUUCCAGCACUGAAAGGGUUAAGAAGAGUUUUCAUUAAUAAUGAAUAUGCAUUAAGCCCCAUUUUUCCAGAGCAUGCUCAUAUUUUGUUCAGUCACUAUUUUGAAUGCUAUGGAUCCCAUAGGUUGCGGUUUAGUCUGUCAUUAUCUUCCUUUUUGUUGUAAAUAUGAUGCUCAUGCUUCCCUUAAUAUUUGAUAAAUUAUAAAAGGAAGUCUCAAUAAAAUAUAUUUGACAUACUGUAUGUGGUUUAAUGACCUAACUUGUUGAAAUUUCAAACCAUUAAACUCCCUUUAAAUAAACUCCUCAAAUUAUGACUAUAAAAUUUGAAUCUGAAUAAGGAUUUAACAGGACACUCCUGCAUUUAAAUAGAUACUUUCCAUAUUCACAUAACGUGUCAAGCAGUUUUAUGAAUGAAUUCUUUAUCUGCUGCGUCUUGUUUACAUGGAUAGAGUGACCGUAUUUAAAUUACUCAAUUUCCUGUGCUUUAAAAGCUUUGCUGUUGAUAAGUAACCGUUUAAGGAUAAAUAUAAGAUAACUGUCAUAAUGUUGUGAAAGCUUAUACUUGAUGGGCGAAAGUUUACCUGUCCCCGAGCGUUUUACCGUCGCCCUGAUUUGCUGAUAUUAUGUGACGAUCGUGUAGCACACACGUGAUAAUUUCUGUUUCUUGGUGCAAUUACCAGUCAAUGGACAAUAUUGUAAACGUUUCUUUCUAUCUUUUAUUUGUGUUGUUUAGUUAUAAAUAUUGUGAAAGUCCACAUUUCUUAAUUAAAUAUUAGUUUUACUUACCAGGAAAAUGCAGCUUUAUUAGACAUAGCAACACAAAGCUUUUGCCUGAAUUAAGUUUAGAGUAAUACUCAUUUUUUUUAAUUAUUCUGUUUUAUUUUUUUCACAUCCUACUUUAAACACUGCAAUAUAAUCUCCAAAUGCUACCUGUUUUUUCCUUGUUCAAGAAAUGUGACAUUCAUAUAUGAUUAUACAAUAACAUUUAUAUAUAUAUGAACAUUUUACAUCAUUUUUAUGUAAUAUUGUGAAACAUAUUGCACAUUGCUGUAGUUUGUUGUUAUUUAUUUUCUUUUAAUGAAAUUCAUAAAAUGAUAAAAAGAAGCAUUUUAUUGUAGUUUUUGUUUCAAUUUUAGUUCAUGUUUGGUAAUAUGAAUGUUUUAUGUUCAAAGAAAGUAACAGCUCUUUAUGCCUUGCUUUAUGUUAAAAUUGUUUUACAUACCCUGGUUUAUUGUUGUAAUAAAUUCUACUCCAUUUUAUGGUGGUUUGACAGUAUGGUUAUGAAAAUUCAGGAUGCAAGUGGGUGGAUGAUUGGGAUACUCAACAAGGAUAAAAAAACAGGCCUCUUGAUUCUUUUGUUACAUUUUGUUUCUGUAAUAAUUAUAUGGGGCAUGCUCUGUGAAAAGGGGGUUUAAUGCAUGUGCGUAAAGUGUCCCAGAUUAGCCUAUUCAGUCUGCACAGGCUGGGAUUAUAGUUUAAGUCCGCUUUUUCCAGGAGGCACCUCAUAUAACAAUGUUAUUCCUGUAAAAUUACUACAUCCAAUCUGAUGAUUAACACAUUAUAUUCAGUGUUCAAUGUUCCGUCCGCACAGGCUUAUCUGGGACGAUUUGUUCAGAUACUAGGAAACUUUUCGUUGAAAGGUGGUCUCUUCUAAAUGAAAAUUGAGUCAAGGCUAAAAUUGUCAUCCCUGAUUACAUGUCGGACUGCACGGGCUAAUCUGGGAAAACACUACGCAUAGGCAUUGAGCCCAGUUUACUGAGAGCGCCAAUCACACAUUCUCGGCCCUUUCCGUCAAACAUCGGAUUAAUGAUAAUUUGCGAGGGGUACCGAUUGUGAGAGCGUGGCUCGUACAUAUUUGUGAAAUAUGUAAUUUGCUAUGAAAAGUUUUUAAACAAUCAAUCAAUUGCAAUAUGCAUGAAUAGCACAUAUUGUGGUAUUACAUGUAGUUGCAACAUUACCUGAACCAUGGGCAAAGUUGGUGUUUCUGUUCUAAAACGAAAUAAAAGUGUUGUUUUUA